rnacentral:rRNA from 1 species
AAUAGAUACCCAGGUAGUCCACGCCGUAAACGAUGAGUGCUAAGUGUUAGGGGGUUUCCGCCCCUUAGUGCUGCAGCUAACGCAUUAAGCACUCCGCCUGGGGAGUACGGUCGCAAGACUGAAACUCAAAGGAAUUGACGGGGGCCCGCACAAGCGGUGGAGCAUGUGGUUUAAUUCGAAGCAACGCGAAGAACCUUACCAGGUCUCGACAUCCCAUUGACCACUAUGGAGACAUAGUUUUCCCUUCGGGGACAACGGUGACAGGUGGUGCAUGGUUGUCGUCAGCUCGUGUCGUGAGAUGUUGGGUUAAGUCCCGCAACGAGCGCAACCCUUGUUCUUAGUUGCCAUCAUUUAGUUGGGCACUCUAAGGAGACUGCCGGUGACAAACCGGAGGAAGGUGUGGAUGACGUCAAAUCAUCAUGCCCCUUAUGACCUGGGCUACACACGUGCUACAAUGGACGGUACAAACGGUUGCCAACCCGCGAGGGGGAGCUAAUCCGAUAAAACCGUUCUCAGUUCGGAUUGUAGGCUGCAACUCGCCUAC